GCGGAGGGAUCAUUACCGAGUUAUACAACUCAUCAACCCUGUGAACAUACCUAAAACGUUGCUUCGGCGGGAACAGACGGCCCCGUAACACGGGCCGCCCCCGCCAGAGGACCCCCUAACUCUGUUUCUAUUAUGUUUCUUCUGAGUAAAACAAGCAAAUAAAUUAAAACUUUCAACAACGGAUCUCUUGGCUCUGGCAUCGAUGAAGAACGCAGCGAAAUGCGAUAAGUAAUGUGAAUUGCAGAAUUCAGUGAAUCAUCGAAUCUUUGAACGCACAUUGCGCCCGCCAGUAUUCUGGCGGGCAUGCCUGUUCGAGCGUCAUUACAACCCUCAGGCCCCCGGGCCUGGCGUUGGGGAUCGGCGAGGCGCCCCCUGCGGGCACACGCCGUCCCCCAAAUACAGUGGCGGUCCCGCCGCAGCUUCCAUUGCGUAGUAGCUAACACCUCGCAACUGGAGAGCGGCGCGGCCACGCCGUAAAACACCCAACUUCUGAAUGUUGACCUCGAAUCAGGUA
rnacentral:rRNA from 1 species